AGACAAUUGACAAAAGUGUGCAAGAACAAAUCAAUAGAGAUAGAGAACAUUGGAGACAAGUAUUAUUGAGAAUAAUAUCUGUGGUGAAAACUCUUGUUGAGAAUAAUUUAGCAUUUCGUGAGGACAAUGAGAAGAUAUAUCAAGAAAAUAAUGGUAUCUUUUUAAGCAUAAUUCAAAUGAUUGCUGAGUUCGACCCCGUAAUGCAAGAGCAUAUUCGUCGAAUAAAAAGUAAAGAGAUUCAUUAUCAUUAUCUAGGACACAAAAUUCAGAAUGAGUUGAUACUUAUGCUAGCGGGCGAGAUAAAAAAAAUAAUCAUUGAGAAACUCAAAAUUUCUAAAUACUUUUCUGUUAUACUUGAUUGCACUCCAGAUACAAGUCACGAAGAACAAAUGUCAAUGAUAUUGAGGUGUGUAGAUAUUUCGACAAGUCCAGUGAAGGUUGAAGAAUUCCUUUUAGGGUUUUUAUUAGUUGAAGAUACAUCAGGUAAGGGGCUUUUUGAGGAAUUGGUGGAUGCUUUGAAUAAUCUAGAACUUGAUAUUGAUAAUGUAAGGGGUCAAGGCUAUGAUAAUGGUGCUAACAUGAAAGGACAACAUAAAGGAGUUCAAAGUAGACUAUUACAACUAAAUCCUAGAGCAUUCUACAUUCCUUGUGGAUGUCAUAGUCUUAAUCUUGCACUUUGUGAUAUGGCCACUUGUUGUUCAAAAG
rnacentral:lncRNA from 1 species